AUUGAACGCUGGCGGCAGGCCUAACACAUGCAAGUCGAGCGAGCGGCGGACGGGUGAGUAAUGUCUGGGAAACUGCCUGAUGGAGGGGGAUAACUACUGGAAACGGUAGCUAAUACCGCAUACCAUCAGAUGUGCCCAGGUGGUAUUCGGUAGUAGUGGGGUUAACGGCUCACCUAGGCGACGCUCCCUAGCUGGUCUGAGAGGAGGACCAGCCAAACUGGAAAUGAGACACGGUCCAGACUCCUAGGGGAGGCAGCAGUGGGGAAUAUUGAACAAGGGGCGCAAGCCUGAGGCAGCCAGGCCGCGUGUGUGAAGAAGGCCUUCGGGUUGUAAAGCACUUUCAGCGGGGAGGCGUUACCCGCAGAAGAAGCACCGGCUAACUCCGUGCCAGCAGCCGCGGUAAUAC
rnacentral:rRNA from 1 species